ACUGAUUGAUGGUGCUUGCACCUGAUUGACGAUGGAUCACCAGUGAGUGGCGGACGGGUGAGUAACACGUAGGUAACCUGCCCCGGAGCGGGGGAUAACAUUUGGAAACAGAUGCUAAUACCGCAUAACAACAAAAGCCACAUGGCUUUUGUUUGAAAGAUGGCUUUGGCUAUCACUCUGGGAUGGACCUGCGGUGCAUUAGCUAGUUGGUAAGGUAACGGCUUACCAAGGCGAUGAUGCAUAGCCGAGUUGAGAGACUGAUCGGCCACAAUGGAACUGAGACACGGUCCAUACUCCUACGGGAGGCAGCAGUAGGGAAUCUUCCACAAUGGGCGCAAGCCUGAUGGAGCAACACCGCGUGAGUGAAGAAGGGUUUCGGCUCGUAAAGCUCUGUUGUUGGAGAAGAACGUGCGUGAGAGUAACUGUUCACGCAGUGACGGUAUCCAACCAGAAAGUCACGGCUAACUACGUGCCA
rnacentral:rRNA from 2 species